rnacentral:rRNA from 1 species
AUGAACGCUGGCGGCGUGCCUAAUCCAUGCAAGUCGAGCGAACGGACGAGAAGCUUGCUUCUCUGAUGUUAGCGGCGGACGGGUGAGUAACACGUGGAUAACCUACCUAUAAGACUGGGAUAACUUCGGGAAACCGUAGCUAAUACCGGAUAAUAUUUUGAACCGCAUGGUUCAAAAGUGAAAGACGGUCUUGCUGUCACUUAUAGAUGGAUCCGCGCUGCAUUAGCUAGUUGGUAAGGUAACGGCUUACCAAGGCAACUAUGCAUAGCCGACCUGAGAGGGUGAUCGGCCACACUGGAACUGAGACACGGUCCAGACUCCUACGGGAGGCAGCAGUAGGGAAUCUUCCGCAAUGGGCGAAAGCCUGACGGAGCAACGCCGCGUGAGUGAUGAAGGUCUUCGGAUCGUAAAACUCUGUUAUUAGGGAAGAACAUAUGUGUAAGUAACUGUGCACAUCUUGACGGUACCUAAUCAGAAAGCCACGGCUAACUACGUG